GUGGCUAUAGCUCAGUUGGUUAGAGCGCCUGGUUGUGGUCCAGGAGGUCGUCGGUUCGAGACCGAUUAGCCACCCCA
rnacentral:tRNA from 1 species